rnacentral:lncRNA from 1 species
UUUUAAAUAGUUUUAUUAUUAGUUGAAAAUAUUAUUAAAAAUAAGAAGAAUAUUUUGAUAGAAAUUGUUAUUUUAAGAAAUUAUAAAAUGAUUUUAGUAAAUCUUUUAUGAACGUUUUUUUAAUAAGAAAAAUGGUUGAAUCAAAUUAUUUUAGUUUCUAAAAUUUAGUUUAAAAAAUUGAAGAAAAACCGGUCAAAAGGCUUUUCAAACUGAGAUCUAGUGUGCAACUCUCCACUGGAUCAUAUCAUGCCGGACCCAUGAGUAAUGGCCACAUGCUUAAAGACGGAGCUUUUGGGUGCUGAUGAUGAUGACGUGGCGAGGAAAAGAUGUUUGUCAAAUUCUACAAAAGUGAGGGGCGUGCACAGCCGAUGCGGAUUUAGUAUCGUUAAAAGCAUUGGCGGGGUUGGGUAUGUAAGUUAGAAGCGUGUCUUGAAUCCAAGACCCGUUCAAUGGGAUCGCGUGGGGUGAGACUCCCGAUUGGUGACUGGCGCUGGGGUAGAGAGAAAAAAUGAAAUGAAAAAGGGCGCGAGGGCUGGGGUUGAGUUGAGAACUAGUCUCUUAUUUGUAUCGAAGACCCGACGACACGCUCAGGGACACGGUUACGCGUUGUCCACACUUGAUAUAAAUAACACGCGUCGGCCUCCCGAUCUUCCAAGUUGGUUCCUCUUCUCUAACUCCCCGCCUUCACUUGAGCAGCAAUGGAAUCUCCCAGGCAAGCGCCGCCUCCGACUACCGCCACUGCCCCUCGUUGGAUCCCUAAACGAGGCCAAGUUCUCAAGAACAUUCUCAAAAUGGCGUUUUCCUGCUCCUGUUUCCCCAAACAGAGACGCCGUCCCCGAACCUCUGCUUCCAUGAUCCAUCCUUCUUCCCUGUGAUGAUUCCUCCAUUUUUGUUAGACCCUUUUGAUCUCGCCUUCUUUUGCCUUAGGUGUUUUUUUUCCUUGCUGAUUUUGAUGUCACGCCACCGAUGGGUUUUUGUUAGCUCUUGAAGGGAAGCAAAGAAUUUCUCCUUCCUCUGUUUGUUUCUCUUUUGGAGAAUCAUUUGCCUCAGAUGCUGUGGCCUGUGGGGUGUGACGGUGCUUGAGGAGCAGGGUUUCGUUGAUGUCCAUUUUGCAUCUUAAAUUUUGAAUUGUGUACUUCUGUCGUCCUUUUUUUCUUUUUUCUUUUUAAAAUUGGGUUCAACGUGAUCAGGUUGGAACUGGGUCCCUCUCCUCAAAUGUUGUAAACAGGGGUCUAAUUCAAAUAACCUUCUAAUGAACACGAAAAUGCCUCUCUUUCUGGAUAUGACUCAACCAAAACGGACUAAUUUCAAUGUGGCUCAGCUGGGGACUGUUUGUUGUUGUAAUUUGUUGCACAACGCAAAGCAUUGCAUGUCCUGUUCUCAGAAUCCAUCUCCUUGAAAUUACUUGCUAAAUUACAUUUUUCAUUUAUAUAUUUUUUGAAAAUAAAUAAAGAACGCUUGUCACCCUAGCGUUUUUCCAUAGUAUUGACCAUGAAAGUGGAAUUAUUCUAAUCCAAAAGUGAUGAUGAUUAAGACGGCUUUGUGUCAUGUGGUCAAAUAUGUUGGGAGACUAAUUAGACUUUACGGUCAAAAUAAUGUUUUUAAAGAAAAUAAUAAUGAAAAUACGUCUCCUCCCAAAAUAUUUAUCAAUUUAGUUUUUGUAAUCAAAUAUUCAUUCACCACUUUUUUUUUUUUAAGUGUAAAAAAUCAUAAUUAAUAAAUAUGAUUUUAGUUUUAAAUUUAAAACCAUAAUUACAUGUUGUGAUUUUAAAUUUAAAACUAAAACCAUAAUUAAUAAUCGUG